AACGAACGCUGGCGGCAUGCCUAACACAUGCAAGUCGAACGAGACCUUCGGGUCUAGUGGCGCACGGGUGCGUAACGCGUGGGAAUCUGCCCUUGGGUUCGGAAUAACAGUUAGAAAUGACUGCUAAUACCGGAUAAUGUCUUCGGACCAAAGAUUUAUCGCCCAGGGAUGAGCCCGCGUAGGAUUAGCUAGUUGGUGAGGUAAAGGCUCACCAAGGCGACGAUCCUUAGCUGGUCUGAGAGGAUGAUCAGCCACACUGGGACUGAGACACGGCCCAGACUCCUACGGGAGGCAGCAGUGGGGAAUAUUGGACAAUGGGCGAAAGCCUGAUCCAGCAAUGCCGCGUGAGUGAUGAAGGCCUUAGGGUUGUAAAGCUCUUUUACCCGGGAUGAUAAUGACAGUACCGGGAGAAUAAGCCCCGGCUAACUCCGUGCCAGCAG
rnacentral:rRNA from 1 species